AUACCUUUCUCGGCCUUUUGGCUAAGAUCAAGUGUAGUAUCUGUUCUUAUCAGUUUAAUAUCUGAUAUGUGAACCAAUGGUUCACACGAUAUUAAAUUAAUAUUUUAUGGGGAAGGCCUAUAACAGUAGCUUGCUACUGAGAUCUUCAGGUGUCGCCCUUGUGUUGCACUAAAACAUAGGCAUGGCACACCCUCC
rnacentral:snRNA from 1 species